UGAGCACCAAAGCCAGAGUGACCACAGU
rnacentral:piRNA from 1 species